rnacentral:rRNA from 1 species
UACAGAGGUCCCAAGCGUUGUUCGGAUUCACUGGGCGUAAAGGGCGCGUAGGCGGCCUGUUAAGUCAGACGUGAAAUCCCUCGGCUCAACCGGGGAACUGCGUCUGAUACUGGCGGGCUUGAAUUCGGGAGAGGGAUGUGGAAUUCCAGGUGUAGCGGUGAAAUGCGUAGAUAUCUGGAGGAACACCGGUGGCGAAGGCGGCAUCCUGGACCGACAUUGACGCUGAGGCGCGAAAGCCAGGGGAGCAAACGGG